rnacentral:lncRNA from 1 species
GGUUAGGGUUAGGGUUGGAUCUAGGGUUAGGGUUAGGGUUAGGGUUGGAGCUAGGGUUAGGGUUGGGCUUGGAGCUAGGAUUUUUCUGAGUGCAAUGAACCAACUCCCGAGUCUCUAGGACGUUCCUAAAAAAAAUUUGAUUUUUUCCCAUAGGAAUGCAUGGGGAAAAAAAAUUGAAAAUUUUUUUAAGUGCCAAUCCAAUUUUUCACCUCCCAGAAUUGUGUUAGGAGCACGCUUCAGGCCACGGGGAGUCUAUAGAACCUUAUUCUGGGGUAAGCUUUUUGAAAAGUUUACUUUGGGUUAGGGUUAGGGUUGGAGCUAGGGUUAGGGUUAGGGUUAAGGUUAAGGUUGGAGCUAGGGUUAGGGUUAGGGUUAAGGUUGGAGCUAGGGUUAGGGUUAGGGUUAGGGUUAGGGUUGGAGCUAGGGUUAGGGUUAGAGCUAGGGUUGGGGCUAGGGUUAGGGUUAGGGUUAGGGUUAAGGUUGGAGCUAGGGUUAGGGUUAGGUGUGGGGUUGGAGCUAGGGUUAGGGUUAGGGUUAGGGUUGGAGUUAGGGUUAGUGUUGGAGCUAGGGUUAGGGUUGGGCUUGGAGCUAGGAUUUUUCUGAGUGCAAUGAACCAACUCCCGAGUCUCUAGGACGUUCCUAAAAAAAUUUGAUUUUUUCCCAUAGGAAUGCAUGGGUUAGGGUUAGGGUUAGGGUUGGAGCUAGGGUUAGGGUUAGGGUUAGGGUUGGAGUUAGGGUUAGUGUUGGAGCUAGGGUUAGGGUUGGGCUUGGAGCUAGGAUUUUUCUGAGUGCAAUGAACCAACUCCCGAGUCUCUAGGACGUUCCUAAAAAAAUUUGAUUUUUUCCCAUAGGAAUGCAUGGGUUAGGGUUAGGGUUAGGGUUGGAGCUAGGGUUAGGGUUAGGGUUAGGGUUGGAGUUAGGGUUAGUGUUGGAGCUAGGGUUAGGGUUGGGCUUGGAGCUAGGAUUUUUCUGAGUGCAAUGAACCAACUCCCGAGUCUCUAGGACGUUCCUAAAAAAAUUGAUUUUUUCCCAUAGGAAUGCAUGGGUUAGGGUUAUGGUUAGGGUUAGGGUUGGAGCUAGGGUUAGGGUUAGGGUUAGGGUUGGAGUUAGGGUUAGUGUUGGAGCUAGGGUUAGGGUUGGGCUUGGAGCUAGGAUUUUUCUGAGUGCACUGAACCAACUCCCGAGUCUCUAGGACAUUCCUAAAAAAAUUGAUUUUUUCCCAUAGGAAUGCAUGGGUUAGGGUUAUGGUUAGGGUUAGGGUUGGAGCUAGGGUUAGGGUUAGGGUUAGGGUUGGAGUUAGGGUUAGUGUUGGAGCUAGGGUUAGGGUUGGGCUUGGAGCUAGGAUUUUUCUGAGUGCAAUGAACCAACUCCCGAGUCUCUAGGACGUUCCUAAAAAAAUUUGAUUUUUUCCCAUAGGAAUGCAUGGGUUAGGGUUAUGGUUAGGGUUAGGGUUGGAGCUAGGGUUAGGGUUAGGGUUAGGGUUGGAGUUAGGGUUAGUGUUGGAGCUAGGGUUAGGGUUGGGCUUGGAGCUAGGAUUUUUCUGAGUGCAAUGAACCAACUCCCGAGUCUCUAGGACAUUCCUAAAAAAAAUUUGAUUUUUUCCCAUAGGAAUGCAUGGGUUAGGGUUAGGGUUAGGGUUGGAGCUAGGGUUAGGGUUAGGGUUAGGGUUGGAGUUAGGGUUAGUGUUGGAGCUAGGGUUAGGGUUGGGCUUGGAGCUAGGAUUUUUCUGAGUGCAAUGAACCAACUCCCGAGUCUCUAGGACGUUCCUAAAAAAAAUUGAUUUUUUUCCCAUAGGAAUGCAUGGGUUAGGGUUAGGGUUAGGGUUGGAGCUAGGGUUAGGGUUAGGGUUAGGGUUGGAGUUAGGGUUAGUGUUGGAGCUAGGGUUAGGGUUGGGCUUGGAGCUAGGAUUUGUCUGAGUGCACUGAACCAACUCCCGAGUCUCUAGGACAUUCCUAAAAAAAUUUGAUUUUUUUCCCAUAGGAAUGCAUGGGUUAGGGUUAUGGUUAGGGUUAGGGUUGGAGCUAGGGUUAGGGUUAGGGUUAGGGUUGGAGUUAGGGUUAGUGUUGGAGCUAGGGUUAGGGUUGGGCUUGGAGCUAGGAUUUUUCUGAGUGCAAUGAACCAACUCCCGAGUCUCUAGGACGUUCCUAAAAAAAUUUGAUUUUUUCCCAUAGGAAUGCAUGGGUUAGGGUUAGGGUUAGGGUUGGAGCUAGGGUUAGGGUUAGGGUUAGGGUUGGAGUUAGGGUUAGUGUUGGAGCUAGGGUUAGGGUUGGGCUUGGAGCUAGGAUUUUUCUGAGUGCAAUGAACCAACUCCCGAGUCUCUAGGACGUUCCUAAAAAAAUUUGAUUUUUUCCCAUAGGAAUGCAUGGGUUAGGGUUAGGGUUAGGGUUGGAGUUAGGGUUAGGGUUAGGGUUAGGGUUGGAGUUAGGGUUAGUGUUGGAGCUAGGGUUAGGGUUGGGCUUGGAGCUAGGACUUUUCUGAGUGCAAUGAACCAACUCCCGAGUCUCUAGGACGUUCCUAAAAAAAUUUGAUUUUUUCCCAUAGGAAUGCAUGGGCUAGGGUUAGGGUUAGGGUUGGAGCUAGGGUUAGGGUUAGGGUUAGGGUUGGAGUUAGGGUUAGUGUUGGAGCUAGGGUUAGGGUUGGGCUUGAAGCUAGGAUUUUUCUGAGUGCAAUGAACCAACUCCCGAGUCUCUAGGACGUUCCUAAAAAAAUUUGAUUUUUUCCCAUAGGAAUGCAUGGGUUAGGGUUAGGGUUAGGGUUGGAGCUAGGGUUAGGGUUAGGGUUAGGGUUGGAGUUAGGGUUAGUGUUGGAGCCAGGGUUAGGGUUGGGCUUGGAGCUAGGACUUUUCUGAGUGCAAUGAACCAACUCCCGAGUCUCUAGGACGUUCCUAAAAAAAUUUGAUUUUUUCCCAUAGGAAUGCAUGGGUUAGGGUUAGGGUUAGGGUUGGAGCUAGGGUUAGGGUUAGGGUUAGGGUUGGAGUUAGGGUUAGUGUUGGAGCUAGGGUUAGGGUUGGGCUUGGAGCUAGGAUUUUUCUGAGUGCAAUGAACCAACUCCCGAGUCUCUAGGACGUUCCUAAAAAAAUUUGAUUUUUUCCCAUAGGAAUGCAUGGGUUAGGGUUAUGGUUAGGGUUAGGGUUGGAGCUAGGGUUAGGGUUAGGGUUAGGGUUGGAGUUAGGGUUAGUGUUGGAGCUAGGGUUAGGGUUGGGCUUGGAGCUAGGAUUUUUCUGAGUGCAAUGAACCAACUCCCGAGUCUCUAGGACGUUCCUCAAAAAAUUUGAUUUUUUCCCAUAGGAAUGCAUGGCUUAGGGUUAGGGUUAGGGUUGGAGCUAGGGUUAGGGUUAGGGUUAGGGUUAGGGUUGGAGUUAGGGUUAGUGUUGGGCUUGGAGCUAGGAUUUUUCUGAGUGCAAUGAACCAACUCCCGAGUCUCUAGGAGAUUCCUAAAAAAAUUUGAUUUUUUCCCAUAGGAAUGCAUGGGUUAGGGUUAUGGUUAGGGUUAGGGUUGGAGCUAGGGUUAGGGUUAGGGUUAGGGUUGGAGUUAGGGUUAGUGUUGGAGCUAGGGUUAGGGUUGGGCUUGGAGCUAGGAUUUUUCUGAGUGCAAUGAACCAACUCCCGAGUCUCUAGGAUGUUCCUAAAAAAAUUUGAUUUUUUCCCAUAGGAAUGCAUGGGUUAGGGUUAGGGUUGGAGCUAGGGUUAGGGUUAGGGUUGGAGUUAGGGUUAGUGUUGGAGCUAGGGUUAGGGUUGGGCUUGGAGCUAGGAUUUUUCUGAGUGCAAUGAACCAACUCCCGAGUCUCUAGGACGUUCCUAAAAAAAUUUGAUUUUUUCCCAUAGGAAUGCAUGGGUUAGGGUUAGGGUUAGGGUUGGAGUUAGGGUUUGUGUUGGAGCUAGGGUUAGGGUUGGGCUUGGAGCUAGGAUUUUUCUGAGUGCAAUGAACCAACUCCCGAGUCUCUAGGACGUUCCUAAAAAAAUUUGAUUUUUUCCCAUAGGAAUGCAUGGAUUAGGGUUAGGUUUAGGGUUGGAGCUAGGGUUAGGGUUAGGGUUGGAGUUAGGGUUAGUGUUGGAGCUAGGGUUAGGGUUGGGCUUGGAGCUAGGAUUUUUCUGAGUGCAAUGAACCAACUCCCGAGUCUCUAGGACGUUCCUAAAAAAAUUUGAUUUUUUCCCAUAGGAAUGCAUGGGUUAGGGUUAGGGUUAGGGUUGGAGCUAGGGUUAGGGUUAGGGUUAGGGUUGGGGUUGGAGUUAGGGUUAGUGUUGGAGCUAGGGUUAGGGUUGGGCUUGGAGCUAGGAUUUUCUGAGUGCAUGAACCAACUCCCGAGUCUCUAGGACUUCCUAAAAAAAUUUGAUUUUUUCCCAUAGGAAUGCAUGGGUUAGGUUAGGGUUAGGGUUAGGGUUGGAGCUAGGGUUAGGGUUAGGGUUAGGGUUGGAGUUAGGGUUAGUGUUGGAGCUAGGGUUAGGGUUGGGCUUGGAGCUAGGAUUUUUCUGAGUGCACUGAACCAACUCCCGAGUCUCUAGGACAUUCCUAAAAAAAUUUGAUUUUUUCCCAUAGGAAUGCAUGGGUUAGGGUUAGGGUUAGGGUUAGGGUUGGAGCUAGGGUUAGGGUUAGGGUUAGGGUUGGAGUUAGGGUUAGUGUUGGAGCUAGGGUUAGGGUUGGGCUUGGAGCUAGGAUUUUUCUGAGUGCAAUGAACCAACUCCCGAGUCUCUAGGACGUUCCUAAAAAAAUUUGAUUUUUUCCCAUAGGAAUGCAUGGGUUAGGGUUAGGGUUAGGGUUGGAGCUAGGGUUAGGGUUAGGGUUAGGGUUGGAGUUAGGGUUAGUGUUGGAGCUAGGGUUAGGGUUGGGCUUGGAGCUAGGAUUUUUCUGAGUGCACUGAACCAACUCCCGAGUCUCUAGGACGUUCCUAAAAAAAAUUGAUUUUUUCCCAUAGGAAUGCAUGGGUUAGGGUUAGGGUUAGGGUUGGAGCUAGGGUUAGGGUUAGGGUUAGGGUUGGAGUUAGGGUUAGUGUUGGAGCUAGGGUUAGGGUUGGGCUUGGAGCUAGGAUUUUUCUGAGUGCACUGAACCAACUCCCGAGUCUCUAGGACAUUCCUAAAAAAAUUGAUUUUUUCCCAUAGGAAUGCAUGGGUUAGGGUUAGGGUUAGGGUUGGAGCUAGGGUUAGGGUUAGGGUUAGGGUUGGAGUUAGGGUUAGUGUUGGAGCUAGGGUUAGGGUUGGGCUUGGAGCUAGGAUUUUUCUGAGUGCACUGAACCAACUCCCGAGUCUCUAGGACAUUCCUAAAAAAAUUUGAUUUUUUUCCCAUAGGAAUGCAUGGGUUAGGGUUAGGGUUAGGGUUGGAGCUAGGGUUAGGGUUAGGGUUAGGGUUAGGGUUGGAGUUAGGGUUAGUGUUGGAGCUAGGGUUAGGGUUGGGCUUGGAGCUAGGAUUUUUCUGAGUGCACUGAACCAACUCCCGAGUCUCUAGGACAUUCCUAAAAAAUUUGAUUUUUUCCCAUAGGAAUGCAUGGGUUAGGGUUAGGGUUAGGGUUGGAGCUAGGGUUAGGGUUAGGGUUAGGGUUGGAGUUAGGGUUAGUGUUGGAGCUAGGGUUAGGGUUGGGCUUGGAGCUAGGAUUUUUCUGAGUGCACUGAACCAACUCCCGAGUCUCUAGGACGUUCCUAAAAAAAUUUGAUUUUUUCCCAUAGGAAUGCAUGGGUUAGGGUUAUGGUUAGGGUUAGGGUUGGAGCUAGGGUUAGGGUUAGGGUUAGGGUUGGAGUUAGGGUUAGUGUUGGAGCUAGGGUUAGGGUUGGGCUUGGAGCUAGGAUUUUCUGAGUGCAAUGAACCAACUCCCGAGUCUCUAGGACGUUCCUAAAAAAAUUUGAUUUUUUCCCAUAGGAAUGCAUGGGUUAGGGUUAGGGUUAGGGUUGGAGCUAGGGUUAGGGUUAGGGUUAGGGUUGGAGUUAGGGUUAGUGUUGGAGCUAGGGUUAGGGUUGGGCUUGGAGCUAGGAUUUUUCUGAGUGCAAUGAACCAACUCCCGAGUCUCUAGGACGUUCCUAAAAAAAUUUGAUUUUUUCCCUUAGGAAUGCAUGGGUUAGGGUUAGGGUUAGGGUUGGAGCUAGGGUUAGGGUUAGGGUUAGGGUUGGAGUUAGGGUUAGUGUUGGAGCUAGGGUUAGGGUUGGGCUUGGAGCUAGGACUUUUCUGAGUGCAAUGAACCAACUCCCGAGUCUCUAGGACGUUCCUAAAAAAAUUUGUUUUUUUCCCAUAGGAAUGCAUGGGUUAGGGUUAGGGUUAGGGUUGGAGCUAGGGUUAGGGUUAGGGUUAGGGUUGGAGUUAGGGUUAGUGUUGGAGCUAGGGUUAGGGUUGGGCUUGGAGCUAGGAUUUUUCUGAGUGCACUGAACCAACUCCCGAGUCUCUAGGACGUUCCUAAAAAAAUUUGAUUUUUUUCCCAUAGGAAUGCAUGGGUUAGGGUUAGGGUUAGGGUUGGAGCUAGGGUUAGGGUUAGGGUUAGGGUUGGAGUUAGGGUUAGUGUUGGAGCUAGGGUUAGGGUUGGGCUUGGAGCUAGGAUUUUUCUGAGUGCACUGAACCAACUCCCGAGUCUCUAGGACAUUCCUAAAAAAAUUUGAUUUUUUCCCAUAGGAAUGCAUGGGUUAGGGUUAGGGUUAGGGUUGGAGCUAGGGUUAGGGUUAGGGUUAGGGUUGGAGUUAGGGUUAGUGUUGGAGCUAGGGUUAGGGUUGGGCUUGGAGCUAGGAUUUUUCUGAGUGCAAUGAACCAACUCCCGAGUCUCUAGGACGUUCCUAAAAAAAUUUGAUUUUUUCCCAUAGGAAUGCAUGGGUUAGGGUUAUGGUUAGGGUUAGGGUUGGAGCUAGGGUUAGGGUUAGGGUUAGGGUUGGAGUUAGGGUUAGUGUUGGAGCUAGGGUUAGGGUUGGGCUUGGAGCUAGGAUGUUUCUGAGUGCAAUGAACCAACUCCCGAGUCUCUUCGACGUUCCUAAAAAAUUUGAUUUUUUCCCAUAGGAAUGCAUGGGUUAGGGUUAGGGUUAGGGUUGGAGCUAGGGUUAGGGUUAGGGUUAGGGUUGGAGUUAGGGUUAGUGUUGGAGCUAGGGUUAGGGUUGGGCUUGGAGCUAGGAUUUUUCUGAGUGCAAUGAACCAACUCCCGAGUCUCUAGGACGUUCCUAAAAAAAUUUGAUUUUUUCCCAUAGGAAUGCAUGGGUUAGGGUUAGGGUUAGGGUUGGAGCUAGGGUUAGGGUUAGGGUUAGGGUUGGAGUUAGGGUUAGUGUUGGAGCUAGGGUUAGGGUUGGGCUUGGAGCUAGGAUUUUUCUGAGUGCAAUGAACCAACUCCCGAGUCUCUAGGACGUUCCUAAAAAAAAUUGUUUUUUUUCCCAUAGGAAUGCAUGGGUUAGGGUUAGGGUUAGGGUUGGAGCUAGGGUUAGGGUUAGGGUUAGGGUUGGAGUUAGGGUUAGUGUUGGAGCUAGGGUUAGGGUUGGGCUUGGAGCUAGGAUUUUUCUGAGUGCACUGAACCAACUCCCGAGUCUCUAGGACAUUCCUAAAAAAAUUUGAUUUUUUCCCUUAGGAAUGCAUGGGUUAGGGUUAUGGCUAGGGUUAGGGUUGGAGCUAGGGUUAGGGUUGGAGUUAGGGUUAGUGUUGGAGCUAGGGUUAGGGUUGGGCUUGGAGCUAGGACUUUUCUGAGUGCAAUGAACCAACUCCCGAGUCUCUAGGACGUUCCCUAAAAAAAUUUGAUUUUUCCCAUAGGAAUGCAUGGGUUAGGGUUAGGGUUAGGGUUGGAGCUAGGGUUAGGGUUAGGGUUAGGGUUGGAGUUAGGGUUAGUGUUGGAGCUAGGGUUAGGGUUGGGCUUGGAGCUAGGAUUUUUCUGAGUGCACUGAACCAACUCCCGAGUCUCUAGGACAUUCCUAAAAAAAUUUGAUUUUUUUCCCAUAGGAAUGCAUGGGUUAGGGUUAGGGUUAGGGUUGGAGCUAGGGUUAGGGUUAGGGUUAGGGUUGGAGUUAGGGUUAGUGUUGGAGCUAGGGUUAGGGUUGGGCUUGGAGCUAGGAUUUUUCUGAGUGCACUGAACCAACUCCCGAGUCUCUAGGACGUUCCUAAAAAAAUUUGAUUUUUUUCCCAUAGGAAUGCAUGGGUUAGGGUUAGGGUUAGGGUUGGAGCUAGGGUUAGGGUUAGGGUUAGGGUUAGGGUUGGAGUUAGGGUUAGUGUUGGAGCUAGGGUUAGGGUUGGGCUUGGAGCUAGGAUUUUUCUGAGUGCACUGAACCAACUCCCGAGUCUCUAGGACAUUCCUAAAAAAAAUUGAUUUUUUCCCAUAGGAAUGCAUGGGUUAGGGUUAGGGUUAGGGUUGGAGCUAGGGUUAGGGUUAGGGUUAGGGUUGGAGUUAGGGUUAGUGUUGGAGCUAGGGUUAGGGUUGGGCUUGGAGCUAGGAUUUUUCUGAGUGCACUGAACCAACUCCCGAGUCUCUAGGACGUUCCUUAAAAAAAUUUGAUUUUUUCCCAUAGGAAUGCAUGGGUUAGGGUUAUGGUUAGGGUUAGGGUUGGAGCUAGGGUUAGGGUUAGGGUUAGGGUUGGAGUUAGGGUUAGUGUUGGAGCUAGGGUUAGGGUUGGGCUUGGAGCUAGGAUUUUUCUGAGUGCAAUGAACCAACUCCCGAGUCUCUAGGACGUUCCUAAAAAAAUUUGAUUUUUUUCCCUUAGGAAUGCAUGGGUUAGGGUUAGGGUUAGGGUUGGAGCUAGGGUUAAGGUUAGGGUUAGGGUUGGAGUUAGGGUUAGUGUUGGAGCUAGGGUUAGGGUUGGGCUUGGAGCUAGGACUUUUCUGAGUGCAAUGAACCAACUCCCGAGUCUCUAGGACGUUCCUAAAAAAAUUUGAUUUUUUUCCCAUAGGAAUGCAUGGGUUAGGGUUAGGGUUAGGGUUGGAGCUAGGGUUAGGGUUAGGGUUAGGGUUGGAGUUAGGGUUAGUGUUGGAGCUAGGGUUAGGGUUGGGCUUGGAGCUAGGAUUUUUCUGAGUGCACUGAACCAACUCCCGAGUCUCUAGGACGUUCCUAAAAAAAUUUGAUUUUUUUCCCAUAGGAAUGCAUGGGUUAGGGUUAGGGUUAGGGUUGGAGCUAGGGUUAGGGUUAGGGUUAGGGUUAGGGUUGGAGUUAGGGUUAGUGUUGGAGCUAGGGUUAGGGUUGGGCUUGGAGCUAGGAUUUUUCUGAGUGCACUGAACCAACUCCCGAGUCUCUAGGACAUUCCUAAAAAAAAUUGAUUUUUUCCCAUAGGAAUGCAUGGGUUAGGGUUAGGGUUAGGGUUGGAGCUAGGGUUAGGGUUAGGGUUAGGGUUGGAGUUAGGGUUAGUGUUGGAGCUAGGGUUAGGGUUGGGCUUGGAGCUAGGAUUUUUCUGAGUGCACUGAACCAACUCCCGAGUCUCUAGGACGUUCCUUAAAAAAAUUUGAUUUUUUCCCAUAGGAAUGCAUGGGUUAGGGUUAUGGUUAGGGUUAGGGUUGGAGCUAGGGUUAGGGUUAGGGUUAGGGUUGGAGUUAGGGUUAGUGUUGGAGCUAGGGUUAGGGUUGGGCUUGGAGCUAGGAUGUUUCUGAGUGCAAUGAACCAACUCCCGAGUCUCUUCGACGUUCCUAAAAAAAUUUGAUUUUUUCCCAUAGGAAUGCAUGGGUUAGGGUUAGGGUUAGGGUUGGAGCUAGGGUUAGGGUUAGGGUUAGGGUUGGAGUUAGGGUUAGUGUUGGAGCUAGGGUUAGGGUUGGGCUUGGAGCUAGGAUUUUUCUGAGUGCAAUGAACCAACUCCCGAGUCUCUAGGACGUUCCUAAAAAAAUUUGAUUUUUUCCCUUAGGAAUGCAUGGGUUAGGGUUAGGGUUAGGGUUGGAGCUAGGGUUAGGGUUAGGGUUAGGGUUGGAGUUAGGGUUAGUGUUGGAGCUAGGGUUAGGGUUGGGCUUGGAGCUAGGACUUUUCUGAGUGCAAUGAACCAACUCCCGAGUCUCUAGGACGUUCCUAAAAAAAUUUGAUUUUUUUCCCAUAGGAAUGCAUGGGUUAGGGUUAGGGUUAGGGUUGGAGCUAGGGUUAGGGUUAGGGUUAGGGUUGGAGUUAGGGUUAGUGUUGGAGCUAGGGUUAGGGUUGGGCUUGGAGCUAGGAUUUUUCUGAGUGCAAUGAACCAACUCCCGAGUCUCUUGGACGUUCCUAAAAAAAUUUGAUUUUUUCCCAUAGGAAUGCAUGGGUUAGGGUUAGGGUUAGGGUUGGAGCUAGGGUUAGGGUUAGGGUUAGGGUUGGAGUUAGGGUUAGUGUUGGAGCUAGGGUUAGGGUUGGGCUUGGAGCUAGGACUUUUCUGAGUGCACUGAACCAACUCCCGAGUCUCUAGGACAUUCCUAAAAAAAUUUGAUUUUUUCCCAUAGGAAUGCAUGGUUUAGGGUUAUGGUUAGGGUUAGGGUUGGAGCUAGGGUUAGGGUUGGAGUUAGGGUUAGUGUUGGAGCUAGGGUUAGGGUUGGGCUUGGAGCUAGGACUUUUCUGAGUGCAAUGAACCAACUCCCGAGUCUCUAGGACGUUCCCUAAAAAAAUUUGAUUUUUUCCCAUAGGAAUGCAUGGGUUAGGGUUAGGGUUAGGGUUGGAGCUAGGGUUAGGGUUAGGGUUAGGGUUGGAGUUAGGGUUAGUGUUGGAGCUAGGGUUAGGGUUGGGCUUGGAGCAAGGAUUUUUCUGAGUGCACUGAACCAACUCCCGAGUCUCUAGGACAUUCCUAAAAAAAUUUGAUUUUUUCCCAUAGGAAUGCAUGGGUUAGGGUUAUGGUUAGGGUUAGGGUUGGAGCUAGGGUUAGGGUUAGGGUUAGGGUUGGAGUUAGGGUUAGUGUUGGAGCUAGGGUUAGGGUUGGGCUUGGAGCUAGGAUUUUUCUGAGUGCACUGAACCAACUCCCGAGUCUCUAGGACAUUCCUAAAAAAAUUUGAUUUUUUCCCAUAGGAAUGCAUGGGUUAGGGUUAGGGUUAGGGUUGGAGCUAGGGUUAGGGUUGGAGUUAGGGUUAGUGUUGGAGCUAGGGUUAGGGUUGGGCUUGGAGCUAGGAUUUUUCUGAGUGCACUGAACCAACUCCCGAGUCUCUAGGACAUUCCUAAAAAAAUUUGAUUUUUUCCCAUAGGAAUGCAUGGGUUAGGGUUAGGGUUAGGGUUGGAGCUAGGGUUAGGGUUAGGGUUAGGGUUGGAGUUAGGGUUAGUGUUGGAGCUAGGGUUAGGGUUGGGCUAGGAGCUAGGAUUUUUCUGAGUGCACUGAACCAACUCCCGAGUCUCUAGGACAUUCCUAAAAAAAUUUGAUUUUUUCCCAUAGGAAUGCAUGGGUUAGGGUUAGGGUUAGGGUUGGAGCUAGGGUUAGGGUUAGGGUUAGGGUUGGAGUUAGGGUUAGUGUUGGAGCUAGGGUUAGGGUUGGGCUUGGAGCUAGGAUUUUUCUGAGUGCACUGAACCAACUCCCGAGUCUCUAGGACAUUCCUAAAAAAAAUUGAUUUUUUCCCAUAGGAAUGCAUGGGUUAGGGUUAUGGUUAGGGUUAGGGUUGGAGCUAGGGUUAGGGUUAGGGUUAGGGUUGGAGUUAGGGUUAGUGUUGGAGCUAGGGUUAGGGUUGGGCUUGGAGCUAGGAUUUUUCUGAGUGCACUGAACCAACUCCCGAGUCUCUAGGACGUUCCUAAAAAAAUUUGAUUUUUUCCCAUAGGAAUGCAUGGGUUAGGGUUAGGGUUAGGGUUGGAGCUAGGGUUAGGGUUAGGGUUAGGGUUGGAGUUAGGGUUAGUGUUGGAGCUAGGGUUAGGGUUGGGCUUGGAGCUAGGAUUUUUCUGAGUGCACUGAACCAACUCCCGAGUCUCUAGGACAUUCCUAAAAAAAUUUGAUUUUUUCCCAUAGGAAUGCAUGGGUUAGGGUUAGGGUUAGGGUUGGAGCUAGGGUUAGGGUUAGGGUUAGGGUUGGAGUUAGGGUUAGUGUUGGAGCUAGGGUUAGGGUUGGGCUUGGAGCUAGGAUUUUUCUGAGUGCACUGAACCAACUCCCGAGUCUCUAGGACGUUCCUAAAAAAAUUUGAUUUUUUCCCAUAGGAAUGCAUGGGUUAGGGUUAGGGUUAGGGUUGGAGCUAGGGUUAGGGUUAGGGUUAGGGUUAGGGUUGGAGUUAGGGUUAGUGUUGGAGCUAGGGUUAGGGUUGGGCUUGGAGCUAGGAUUUUUCUGAGUGCACUGAACCAACUCCCGAGUCUCUAGGACAUUCCUAAAAAAAUUUGAUUUUUUCCCAUAGGAAUGCAUGGGUUAGGGUUAGGGUUAGGGUUAGGGUUGGAGCUAGGGUUAGGGUUAGGGUUAGGGUUGGAGUUAGGGUUAGUGUUGGAGCUAGGGUUAGGGUUGGGCUUGGAGCUAGGAUUUUUCUGAGUGCAAUGAACCAACUCCCGAGUCUCUAGGACGUUCCUAAAAAAAUUUGAUUUUUUCCCAUAGGAAUGCAUGGGUUAGGGUUAUGGUUAGGGUUAGGGUUGGAGCUAGGGUUAGGGUUAGGGUUAGGGUUGGAGUUAGGGUUAGUGUUGGAGCUAGGGUUAGGGUUGGGCUUGGAGCUAGGAUUUUUCUGAGUGCAAUGAACCAACUCCCGAGUCUCUAGGACGUUCCUAAAAAAAUUUGAUUUUUUUCCCAUAGGAAUGCAUGGGUUAGGGUUAGGGUUAGGGUUGGAGCUAGGGUUAGGGUUAGGGUUGGAGUUAGGGUUAGUGUUGGAGCUAGGGUUAGGGUUGGGCUUGGAGCUAGGACUUUUCUGAGUGCAAUGAACCAACUCCCGAGUCUCUAGGACGUUCCUAAAAAAAUUUGAUUUUUUUCCCAUAGGAAUGCAUGGGUUAGGGUUAGGGUUAGGGUUGGAGCUAGGGUUAGGGUUAGGGUUAGGGUUGGAGUUAGGGUUAGUGUUGGAGCUAGGGUUAGGGUUGGGCUUGGAGCUAGGAUUUUUCUGAGUGCACUGAACCAACUCCCGAGUCUCUAGGACAUUCCUAAAAAAAUUUGAUUUUUUCCCAUAGGAAUGCAUGGGUUAGGGUUAUGGUUAGGGUUAGGGUUGGAUUUAGGGUUAGGGUUAGGGUUAGGGUUGGAGUUAGGGUUAGUGUUGGAGCUAGGGUUAGGGUUGGGCUUGGAGCUAGGAUUUUUCUGAGUGCACUGAACCAACUCCCGAGUCUCUAGGACAUUCCUAAAAAAAUUUGAUUUUUUCCCAUAGGAAUGCAUGGGUUAGGGUUAGGGUUAGGGUUGGUGCUAGGGUUAGGGUUAGGGUUAGGGUUGGAGUUAGGGUUAGUGUUGGAGCUAGGGUUAGGGUUGGGCUUGGAGCUAGGAUUUUUCUGAGUGCACUGAACCAACUCCCGAGUCUCUAGGACAUUCCUAAAAAAAUUUGAUUUUUUCCCAUAGGAAUGCAUGGGUUAGGGUUAUGGUUAGGGUUAGGGUUGGAGCUAGGGUUAGGGUUAGGGUUAGGGUUGGAGUUAGGGUUAGUGUUGGAGCUAGGGUUAGGGUUGGGCUUGGAGCUAGGAUUUUUCUGAGUGCACUGAACCAACUCCCGAGUCUCUAGGACGUUCCCUAAAAAAAUUUGAUUUUUUCCCAUAGGAAUGCAUGGGUUAGGGUUAGGGUUAGGGUUGGAGCUAGGGUUAGGGUUAGGGUUAGGGUUGGAGUUAGGGUUAGUGUUGGAGCUAGGGUUAGGGUUGGGCUUGGAGCUAGGAUUUUUCUGAGUGCACUGAACCAACUCCCGAGUCUCUAGGACAUUCCUAAAAAAAUUUGAUUUUUUCCCAUAGGAAUGCAUGGGUUAGGGUUAUGGUUAGGGUUAGGGUUGGAGCUAGGGUUAGGGUUAGGGUUAGGGUUGGAGUUAGGGUUAGUGUUGGAGCUAGGGUUAGGGUUGGGCUUGGAGCUAGGAUUUUUCUGAGUGCACUGAACCAACUCCCGAGUCUCUAGGACAUUCCUAAAAAAAUUUGAUUUUUUCCCAUAGGAAUGCAUGGGUUAGGGUUAUGGUUAGGGUUAGGGUUGGAGCUAGGGUUAGGGUUAGGGUUGGAGUUAGGGUUAGUGUUGGAGCUAGGGUUAGGGUUGGGCUUGGAGCUAGGAUUUUUCUGAGUGCACUGAACCAACUCCCGAGUCUCUAGGAUGUUCCUAAAAAAAUUUGAUUUUUUCCCAUAGGAAUGCAUGGGUUAGGGUUAGGGUUAGGGUUGGAGCUAGGGUUAGGGUUAGGGUUAGGGUUGGAGUUAGGAUUAGUGUUGGAGCUAGGGUUAGGGUUGGGCUUGGAGCUAGGGUUUUUCUGAGUGCACUGAACCAACUCCCGAGUCUCUAGGACAUUCCUAAAGAAAUUUGAUUUUUUCCCAUAGGAAUGCAUGGGUUAGGGUUAGGGUUAGGGUUGGAGCUAGGGUUAGGGUUAGGGUUAGGGUUGGAGUUAGGGUUAGUGUUGGAGCUAGGGUUAGGGUUGGGCUUGGAGCUAGGAUUUUUCUGAGUGCACUGAACCAACUCCCGAGUCUCUAGGACAUUCCUAAAAAAAUUUGAUUUUUUCCCAUAGGAAUGCAUGGGUUAGGGUUAGGGUUAGGGUUAGGGUUGGAGCUAGGGUUAGGGUUAGGGUUGGAGUUAGGGUUAGUGUUGGAGCUAGGGUUAGGGUUGGGCUUGGAGCUAGGAUUUUUCUGAGUGCACUGAACCAACUCCCGAGUCUCUAGGAUGUUCCUAAAAAAAUUUGAUUUUUUCCCAUAGGAAUGCAUGGGUUAGGGUUAGGGUUAGGGUUGGAGCUAGGGUUAGGGUUAGGGUUAGGGUUGGAGUUAGAAUUAGUGUUGGAGCUAGGGUUAGGGUUGGGCUUGGAGCUAGGAUUUUUCUGAGUGCACUGAACCAACUCCCGAGUCUCUAGGACAUUCCUAAAGAAAUUUGAUUUUUUCCCAUAGGAAUGCAUGGGUUAGGGUUAGGGUUAGGGUUGGAGCUAGGGUUAGGGUUAGGGUUAGGGUUGGAGUUAGGGUUAGUGUUGGAGCUAGGGUUAGGGUUGGGCUUGGAGCUAGGAUUUUUCUGAGUGCAAUGAACCAACUCCCGAGUCUCUAGGACAUUCCUAAAAAAAUUUGAUUUUUUCCCAUAGGAAUGCAUGGGUUAGGGUUAUGGUUAGGGUUAGGGUUGGAGCUAGGGUUAGGGUUAGGGUUAGGGUUGGAGUUAGGGUUAGUGUUGGAGCUAGGGUUAGGGUUGGGCUUGGAGCUAGGAUUUUUCUGAGUGCACUGAACCAACUCCCGAGUCUCUAGGACGUUCCUAAAAAAAUUUGAUUUUUUCCCAUAGGAAUGCAUGGGUUAGGGUUAGGGUUAGGGUUGGAGCUAGGGUUAGGGUUAGGGUUAGGGUUGGAGUUAGGGUUAGUGUUGGAGCUAGGGUUAGGGUUGGGCUUGGAGCUAGGAUUUUUCUGAGUGCACUGAACCAACUCCCGAGUCUCUAGGACAUUCCUAAAAAAAUUUGAUUUUUUUCCCAUAGGAAUGCAUGGGUUAGGGUUAGGGUUAGGGUUGGAGCUAGGGUUAGGGUUAGGGUUAGGGUUGGAGUUAGGGUUAGUGUUGGAGCUAGGGUUAGGGUUGGGCUUGGAGCUAGGAUUUUUCUGAGUGCAAUGAACCAACUCCCGAGUCUCUAGGACAUUCCUAAAAAAAUUUGAUUUUUUCCCAUAGGAAUGCAUGGGUUAGGGUUAUGGUUAGGGUUAGGGUUGGAGCUAGGGUUAGGGUUAGGGUUAGGGUUGGAGUUAGGGUUAGUGUCGGAGCUAGGGUUAGGGUUGGGCUUGGAGCUAGGAUUUUUCUGAGUGCACUGAACCAACUCCCGAGUCUCUAGGACAUUCCUAAAAAAAUUUGAUUUUUUCCCAUAGGAAUGCAUGGGUUAGGGUUAUGGUUAGGGUUAGGUUUGGAGCUAGGGUUAGGGUUAGGGUUAGGGUUGGAGUUAGGGUUAGUGUUGGAGCUAGGGUUAGGGUUGGGCUUGGAGCUAGGAUUUUUCUGAGUGCACUGAACCAACUCCCGAGUCUCUAGGACAUUCCUAAAGAAAUUUGAUUUUUUCCCAUAGGAAUGCAUGGGUUAGGGUUAGGGUUAGGGUUGGAGCUAGGGUUAGGGUUAGGGUUAGGGUUGGAGUUAGGGUUAGUGUUGGAGCUAGGGUUAGGGUUGGGCUUGGAGCUAGGAUUUUUCUGAGUGCACUGAACCAACUCCCGAGUCUCUAGGACAUUCCUAAAAAAAUUUGAUUUUUUCCCAUAGGAAUGCAUGGGUUAGGGUUAGGGUUAGGGUUAGGGUUGGAGCUAGGGUUAGGGUUAGGGUUGGAGUUAGGGUUAGUGUUGGAGCUAGGGUUAGGGUUGGGCUUGGAGCUAGGAUUUUUCUGAGUGCACUGAACCAACUCCCGAGUCUCUAGGAUGUUCCUAAAAAAAUUUGAUUUUUUCCCAUAGGAAUGCAUGGGUUAGGGUUAGGGUUAGGGUUGGAGCUAGGGUUAGGGUUAGGGUUAGGGUUGGAGUUAGGAUUAGUGUUGGAGCUAGGGUUAGGGUUGGGCUUGGAGCUAGGAUUUUUCUGAGUGCACUGAACCAACUCCCGAGUCUCUAGGACAUUCCUAAAGAAAUUUGAUUUUUUCCCAUAGGAAUGCAUGGGUUAGGGUUAGGGUUAGGGUUGGAGCUAGGGUUAGGGUUAGGGUUAGGGUUGGAGUUAGGGUUAGUGUUGGAGCUAGGGUUAGGGUUGGGCUUGGAGCUAGGAUUUUUCUGAGUGCAAUGAACCAACUCCCGAGUCUCUAGGACAUUCCUAAAAAAAUUUGAUUUUUUACCAUAGGAAUGCAUGGGUUAGGGUUAUGGUUAGGGUUAGGGUUGGAGCUAGGGUUAGGGUUAGGGUUAGGGUUGGAGUUAGGGUUAGUGUUGGAGCUAGGGUUAGGGUUGGGCUUGGAGCUAGGAUUUUUCUGAGUGCACUGAACCAACUCCCGAGUCUCUAGGACGUUCCUAAAAAAAUUUGAUUUUUUCCCAUAGGAAUGCAUGGGUUAGGGUUAGGGUUAGGGUUGGAGCUAGGGUUAGGGUUAGGGUUAGGGUUGGAGUUAGGGUUAGUGUUGGAGCUAGGGUUAGGGUUGGGCUUGGAGCUAGGAUUUUUCUGAGUGCACUGAACCAACUCCCGAGUCUCUAGGACAUUCCUAAAAAAAUUUGAUUUUUUUCCCAUAGGAAUGCAUGGGUUAGGGUUAGGGUUAGGGUUGGAGCUAGGGUUAGGGUUAGGGUUAGGGUUGGAGUUAGGGUUAGUGUUGGAGCUAGCGUUAGGGUUGGGCUUGGAGCUAGGAUUUUUCUGAGUGCAAUGAACCAACUCCCGAGUCUCUAGGACAUUCCUAAAAAAAUUUGAUUUUUUCCCAUAGGAAUGCAUGGGUUAGGGUUAUGGUUAGGGUUAGGGUUGGAGCUAGGGUUAGGGUUAGGGUUAGGGUUUGAGUUAGGGUUAGUGUCGGAGCUAGGGUUAGGGUUGGGCUUGGAGCUAGGAUUUUUCUGAGUGCACUGAACCAACUCCCGAGUCUCUAGGACAUUCCUAAAAAAAUUUGAUUUUUUCCCAUAGGAAUGCAUGGGUUAGGGUUAUGGUUAGGGUUAGGGUUGGAGCUAGGGUUAGGGUUAGGGUUAGGGUUGGAGUUAGGGUUAGUGUUGGAGCUAGGGUUAGGGUUGGGCUUGGAGCUAGGAUUUUUCUGAGUGCACUGAACCAACUCCCGAGUCUCUAGGACGUUCCUAAAAAAAUUGAUUUUUUCCCAUAGGAAUGCAUGGGUUAGGGUUAGGGUUAGGGUUGGACCUAGGGUUAGGGUUGGAGUUAGGGUUAGUGUUGGAGCUAGGGUUAGGGUUGGGCUUGGAGCUAGGAUUUUUCUGAGUGCACUGAACCAACUCCCGAGUCUCUAGGACAUUCCUAAAAAAACUUGAUUUUUUCCCAUAGGAAUGCAUGGGUUAGGGUUAGGGUUAGGGUUGGAGCUAGGGUUAGGGUUAGGGUUAGGGUUGGAGUUAGGGUUAGUGUUGGAGCUAGGGUUAGGGUUGGGCUUGGAGCUAGGAUUUUUCUGAGUGCACUGAACCAACUCCCGAGUCUCUAGGACAUUCCUAAAAAAAAUUGAUUUUUUCCCAUAGGAAUGCAUGGGUUAGGGUUAUGGUUAGGGUUAGGGUUGGAGCUAGGGUUAGGGUUAGGGUUAGGGUUGGAGUUAGGGUUAGUGUUGGAGCUAGGGUUAGGGUUGGGCUUGGAGCUAGGAUUUUUCUGAGUGCACUGAACCAACUCCCGAGUCUCUAGGACGUUCCUAAAAAAAUUUGAUUUUUUCCCAUAGGAAUGCAUGGGUUAGGGUUAGGGUUAGGGUUGGAGCUAGGGUUAGGGUUAGGGUUAGGGUUGGAGUUAGGGUUAGUGUUGGAGCUAGGGUUAGGGUUGGGCUUGGAGCUAGGAUUUUUCUGAGUGCACUGAACCAACUCCCGAGUCUCUAGGACAUUCCUAAAAAAAUUUGAUUUUUUCCAAUAGGAAUGCAUGGGUUAGGGUUAGGGUUAGGGUUGGAGCUAGGGUUAGGGUUAGGGUUAGGGUUGGAGUUAGGGUUAGGGUUGGAGCUAGGGUUAGGGUUGGGCUUGGAGCUAGGAUUUUUCUGAGUGCACUGAACCAACUCCCGAGUCUCUAGGACAUUCCUAAAAAAAUUUGAUUUUUUCCCAUAGGAAUGCAUGGGUUAGGGUUAGGGUUAGGGUUGGAGCUAGGGUUAGGGUUAGGGUUAGGGUUGGAGUUAGGGUUAGUGUUGGAGCUAGGGUUAGGGUUGGGCUUGGAGCUAGGAUUUUUCUGAGUGCACUGAACCAACUCCCGAGUCUCUAGGACAUUCCUAAAAAAAUUGAAUUUUUUCCCAUAGGAAUGCAUGGGUUAGGGUUAUGGUUAGGGUUAGGGUUGGAGCUAGGGUUAGGGUUAGGGUUAGGGUUGGAGUUAGGGUUAGUGUUGGAGCUAGGGUUAGGGUUGGGCUUGGAGCUAGGAUUUUUCUGAGUGCACUGAACCAACUCCCGAGUCUCUAGGACAUUCCUAAAAAAAUUUGAUUUUUUCCCAUAGGAAUGCAUGGGUUAGGGUUAUGGUUAGUGUUAGGGUUGGAGCUAGGGUUAGGGUUAGGGUUAGGGUUGGAGUUAGGGUUAGUGUUGGAGCUAGGGUUAGGGUUGGGCUUGGAGCUAGGACUUUUCUGAGUGCACUGAACCAACUCCCGAGUCUCUAGGACAUUCCUAAAAAAAUUUGAUUUUUUCCCAUAGGAAUGCAUGGGUUAGGGUUAGGGUUAGGGUUGGAGCUAGGGUUAGGGUUAGGGUUAGGGUUGGAGUUAGGGUUAGUGUUGGAGCUAGGGUUAGGGUUGGGCUUGGAGCUAGGAUUUUUCUGAGUGCACUGAACCAACUCCCGAGUCUCUAGGACAUUCCUAAAAAAAUUUGAUUUUUUCCCAUAGGAAUGCAUGGGUUAGGGUUAUGGUUAGGGUUAGGGUUGGAGCUAGGGUUAGGGUUAGGGUUGGAGUUAGGGUUAGUGUUGGAGCUAGGGUUAGGGUUGGGCUUGGAGCUAGGAUUUUUCUGAGUGCACUGAACCAACUCCCGAGUCUCUAGGAUGUUCCUAAAAAAAUUUGAUUUUUUCCCAUAGGAAUGCAUGGGUUAGGGUUAGGGUUAGGGUUGGAGCUAGGGUUAGGGUUAGGGUUAGGGUUGGAGUUAGGAUUAGUGUUGGAGCUAGGGUUAGGGUUGGGCUUGGAGCUAGGAUUUUUCUGAGUGCACUGAACCAACUCCCGAGUCUCUAGGACAUUCCUAAAGAAAUUUGAUUUUUUCCCAUAGGAAUGCAUGGGUUAGGGUUAGGGUUAGGGUUGGAGCUAGGGUUAGGGUUAGGGUUAGGGUUGGAGUUCGGGUUAGUGUUGGAGCUAGGGUUAGGGUUGGGCUUGGAGCUAGGAUUUUUCUGAGUGCACUGAACCAACUCCCGAGUCUCUAGGACAUUCCUAAAAAAAUUUGAUUUUUUCCCAUAGGAAUGCAUGGGUUAGGGUUAUGGUUAGGGUUAGGGUUGGAGCUAGGGUUAGGGUUAGGGUUGGAGUUAGGGUUAGUGUUGGAGCUAGGGUUAGGGUUGGGCUUGGAGCUAGGAUUUUUCUGAGUGCACUGAACCAACUCCCGAGUCUCUAGGAUGUUCCUAAAAAAAUUUGAUUUUUUCCCAUAGGAAUGCAUGGGUUAGGGUUAGGGUUAGGGUUGGAGCUAGGGUUAGGGUUAGGGUUAGGGUUGGAGUUAGGAUUAGUGUUGGAGCUAGGGUUAGGGUUGGGCUUGGAGCUAGGAUUUUUCUGAGUGCACUGAACCAACUCCCGAGUCUCUAGGACAUUCCUAAAGAAAUUUGAUUUUUUCCCAUAGGAAUGCAUGGGUUAGGGUUAGGGUUAGGGUUGGAGCUAGGGUUAGGGUUAGGGUUAGGGUUGGAGUUAGGGUUAGUGUUGGAGCUAGGGUUAGGGUUGGGCUUGGAGCUAGGAUUUUUCUGAGUGCACUGAACCAACUCCCGAGUCUCUAGGACAUUCCUAAAAAAAUUUGAUUUUUUCCCAUAGGAAUGCAUGGGUUAGGGUUAUGGUUAGGGUUAGGGUUGGAGCUAGGGUUAGGGUUAGGGUUAGGGUUGGAGUUAGGGUUAGUGUUGGAGCUAGGGUUAGGGUUGGGCUUGGAGCUAGGAUUUUUCUGAGUGCACUGAACCAACUCCCGAGUCUCUAGGACGUUCCUAAAAAAAUUUGAUUUUUUCCCAUAGGAAUGCAUGGGUUAGGGUUAGGGUUAGGGUUGGAGCUAGGGUUAGGGUUAGGGUUAGGGUUGGAGUUAGGGUUAGUGUUGGAGCUAGGGUUAGGGUUGGGCUUGGAGCUAGGAUUUUUCUGAGUGCACUGAACCAACUCCCGAGUCUCUAGGACAUUCCUAAAAAAAUUUGAUUUUUUUCCCAUAGGAAUGCAUGGGUUAGGGUUAGGGUUAGGGUUGGAGCUAGGGUUAGGGUUAGGGUUAGGGUUGGAGUUAGGGUUAGUGUUGGAGCUAGCGUUAGGGUUGGGCUUGGAGCUAGGAUUUUUCUGAGUGCAAUGAACCAACUCCCGAGUCUCUAGGACAUUCCUAAAAAAAUUUGAUUUUUUCCCAUAGGAAUGCAUGGGUUAGGGUUAUGGUUAGGGUUAGGGUUGGAGCUAGGGUUAGGGUUAGGGUUAGGGUUUGAGUUAGGGUUAGUGUCGGAGCUAGGGUUAGGGUUGGGCUUGGAGCUAGGAUUUUUCUGAGUGCACUGAACCAACUCCCGAGUCUCUAGGACGUUCCUAAAAAAAUUGAUUUUUUCCCAUAGGAAUGCAUGGGUUAGGGUUAGGGUUAGGGUUGGACCUAGGGUUAGGGUUGGAGUUAGGGUUAGUGUUGGAGCUAGGGUUAGGGUUGGGCUUGGAGCUAGGAUUUUUCUGAGUGCACUGAACCAACUCCCGAGUCUCUAGGACAUUCCUAAAAAAAUUUGAUUUUUUCCCAUAGGAAUGCAUGGGUUAGGGUUAGGGUUAGGGUUGGAGCUAGGGUUAGGGUUAGGGUUAGGGUUGGAGUUAGGGUUAGUGUUGGAGCUAGGGUUAGGGUUGGGCUUGGAGCUAGGAUUUUUCUGAGUGCACUGAACCAACUCCCGAGUCUCUAGGACAUUCCUAAAAAAAUUGAUUUUUUCCCAUAGGAAUGCAUGGGUUAGGGUUAUGGUUAGGGUUAGGGUUGGAGCUAGGGUUAGGGUUAGGGUUAGGGUUGGAGUUAGGGUUAGUGUUGGAGCUAGGGUUAGGGUUGGGCUUGGAGCUAGGAUUUUUCUGAGUGCACUGAACCAACUCCCGAGUCUCUAGGACGUUCCUAAAAAAAUUUGAUUUUUUCCAAUAGGAAUGCAUGGGUUAGGGUUAGGGUUAGGGUUGGAGCUAGGGUUAGGGUUAGGGUUAGGGUUGGAGUUAGGGUUAGGGUUGGAGCUAGGUUUAGGGUUGGGCUUGGAGCUAGGAUUUUUCUGAGUGCACUGAACCAACUCCCGAGUCUCUAGGACAUUCCUAAAAAAAUUUGAUUUUUUCCCAUAGGAAUGCAUGGGUUAGGGUUAGGGUUAGGGUUGGAGCUAGGGUUAGGGUUAGGGUUAGGGUUGGAGUUAGGGUUAGUGUUGGAGCUAGGGUUAGGGUUGGGCUUGGAGCUAGGAUUUUUCUGAGUGCACUGAACCAACUCCCGAGUCUCUAGGACAUUCCUAAAAAAAUUUGAUUUUUUCCCAUAGGAAUGCAUGGGUUAGGGUUAUGGUUAGGGUUAGGGUUGGAGCUAGGGUUAGGGUUAGGGUUAGGGUUGGAGUUAGGGUUAGUGUUGGAGCUAGGGUUAGGGUUGGGCUUGGAGCUAGGAUUUUUCUGAGUGCACUGAACCAACUCCCGAGUCUCUAGGACAUUCCUAAAAAAAUUUGAUUUUUUCCCAUAGGAAUGCAUGGGUUAGGGUUAUGGUUAGGGUUAGGGUUGGAGCUAGGGUUAGGGUUAGGGUUAGGGUUGGAGUUAGGGUUAGUGUUGGAGCUAGGGUUAGGGUUGGGCUUGGAGCUAGGAUUUUUCUGAGUGCACUGAACCAACUCCCGAGUCUCUAGGACAUUCCUAAAAAAAUUUGAUUUUUUCCCAUAGGAAUGCAUGGGUUAGGGUUAUGGUUAGGGUUAGGGUUGGAGCUAGGGUUAGGGUUAGGGUUGGAGUUAGGGUUAGUGUUGGAGCUAGGGUUAGGGUUGGGCUUGGAGCUAGGAUUUUUCUGAGUGCACUGAACCAACUCCCGAGUCUCUAGGAUGUUCCUAAAAAAAUUUGAUUUUUUCCCAUAGGAAUGCAUGGGUUAGGGUUAGGGUUAGGGUUGGAGCUAGGGUUAGGGUUAGGGUUAGGGUUGGAGUUAGGAUUAGUGUUGGAGCUAGGGUUAGGGUUGGGCUUGGAGCUAGGGUUUUUCUGAGUGCACUGAACCAACUCCCGAGUCUCUAGGACAUUCCUAAAGAAAUUUGAUUUUUUCCCAUAGGAAUGCAUGGGUUAGGGUUAGGGUUAGGGUUGGAGCUAGGGUUAGGGUUAGGGUUAGGGUUGGAGUUAGGGUUAGUGUUGGAGCUAGGGUUAGGGUUGGGCUUGGAGCUAGGAUUUUUCUGAGUGCACUGAACCAACUCCCGAGUCUCUAGGACAUUCCUAAAAAAAUUUGAUUUUUUCCCAUAGGAAUGCAUGGGUUAGGGUUAGGGUUAGGGUUAGGGUUGGAGCUAGGGUUAGGGUUAGGGUUGGAGUUAGGGUUAGUGUUGGAGCUAGGGUUAGGGUUGGGCUUGGAGCUAGGAUUUUUCUGAGUGCACUGAACCAACUCCCGAGUCUCUAGGAUGUUCCUAAAAAAAUUUGAUUUUUUCCCAUAGGAAUGCAUGGGUUAGGGUUAGGGUUAGGGUUGGAGCUAGGGUUAGGGUUAGGGUUAGGGUUGGAGUUAGGAUUAGUGUUGGAGCUAGGGUUAGGGUUGGGCUUGGAGCUAGGAUUUUUCUGAGUGCACUGAACCAACUCCCGAGUCUCUAGGACAUUCCUAAAGAAAUUUGAUUUUUUCCCAUAGGAAUGCAUGGGUUAGGGUUAGGGUUAGGGUUGGAGCUAGGGUUAGGGUUAGGGUUAGGGUUGGAGUUAGGGUUAGUGUUGGAGCUAGGGUUAGGGUUGGGCUUGGAGCUAGGAUUUUUCUGAGUGCAAUGAACCAACUCCCGAGUCUCUAGGACAUUCCUAAAAAAAUUUGAUUUUUUCCCAUAGGAAUGCAUGGGUUAGGGUUAUGGUUAGGGUUAGGGUUGGAGCUAGGGUUAGGGUUAGGGUUAGGGUUGGAGUUAGGGUUAGUGUUGGAGCUAGGGUUAGGGUUGGGCUUGGAGCUAGGAUUUUUCUGAGUGCACUGAACCAACUCCCGAGUCUCUAGGACGUUCCUAAAAAAAUUUGAUUUUUUCCCAUAGGAAUGCAUGGGUUAGGGUUAGGGUUAGGGUUGGAGCUAGGGUUAGGGUUAGGGUUAGGGUUGGAGUUAGGGUUAGUGUUGGAGCUAGGGUUAGGGUUGGGCUUGGAGCUAGGAUUUUUCUGAGUGCACUGAACCAACUCCCGAGUCUCUAGGACAUUCCUAAAAAAAUUUGAUUUUUUUCCCAUAGGAAUGCAUGGGUUAGGGUUAGGGUUAGGGUUGGAGCUAGGGUUAGGGUUAGGGUUAGGGUUGGAGUUAGGGUUAGUGUUGGAGCUAGCGUUAGGGUUGGGCUUGGAGCUAGGAUUUUUCUGAGUGCAAUGAACCAACUCCCGAGUCUCUAGGACAUUCCUAAAAAAAUUUGAUUUUUUCCCAUAGGAAUGCAUGGGUUAGGGUUAUGGUUAGGGUUAGGGUUGGAGCUAGGGUUAGGGUUAGGGUUAGGGUUGGAGUUAGGGUUAGGGUUGGAGCUAGGUUUAGGGUUGGGCUUGGAGCUAGGAUUUUUCUGAGUGCACUGAA